rnacentral:rRNA from 1 species
GACGAACGCUGGCGGCGUGCUUAACACAUGCAAGUCGAACGGAGAUUAUUAAUGAAGCUUGCGAUUUAAUAAUCUUAGUGGCGGACGGGUGAGUAACGCGUGGGCAACCUACCCAUAAGAGGGGGAUAACAGCUGGAAACGGCUGCUAAUACCGCAUAAACUUUUUAAGACACAUGUUUUAAAAGAAAGGUAGGCGCAAGCUAUCGCUUAUGGAUGGGCCUGCGUCUGAUUAGCUGGUUGGUGAGGUAACGGCUCACCCAAGGCAACGGAUCAGUAGCCGACCUGAGAGGGUAAUCGGCCACAUUGGAACUGAGACACGGUCCAAACUCCUACGGGA